UGAUCCUGCCGCACCUGACUGCUAUCGUCAUUGGCACCAAGCCAUGCGACUCGUUGUAGCACUACAGGGACGGACUGCUCACGUAACACGUAGUUAACUUAACCUAUGCAUGGGAAUAACCUCGGGAAACUGAGAAUAAUACCCAAUGGGCCACAGUGCCUGCAAUGGCCUGUGGUUGACAUGAUUUAUCGCCGCUACGAUAGGACUGCGGCCUAUCAGCUUGUUGGUGACGUAAUGGCCCACCAAGGCUAUAACAGGCUACGGGCUCUGAGAGGAGGGGCCCGGAGAUGGGUACUGAGACACGGACCCAGGCCCUAUGGGGCGCAGCAGGCGAGAAACCUUUGCAAUGUGCGACAGCACGACAAGGUUAAUCCGAGUGUCUCCUGCUAAAGGACUCUUUUGUCACUUGUAGAAUCACUGGUGAAUAAGGGGUGGGCAAGUUCUGGUGUCAGCCGCCCGCGGUAAAACCAGCACCUCGAGUGGUCAGGACGUUCAUUGGGCCUAACGCAUCCGUAGCCGGUUGCCUAACGUUUUCGGUUAAAUCUAUGCGCUUAACGUAUAGGCCGCC
rnacentral:rRNA from 1 species